GAGAUGGCCUCUCGCCCUAUUCAGUGUAACAGCUGUGAUAGUGGGUUUGGUCGCUCGCAUUUAAAUUGGAAGGGUAAUGGUGGACCGCACUUCUCCCUUAGUAGGACGUUGCGACCUGUCAAAUAAUAUCCUAAGUAUUUGGCUAAUUUGUCUGUUUUUAGGCAGUACUGAAAGGUAUUUCCUUUAACAGUUUUAGCCGUUUAUAUACUGGAUAUAAUUGACAGUAACGAAUCAUGGUGUUGAGCCACUUACUUUGUAAGUGUCCUUUAUGGCUGUUUGCAAGUGGGUUGGUUAAUUAGUUUUAGUCGGAUUUUGGUCCGUCUAACUAUUCCGCCUACUGUUGGUAAACUGUUCCUUGGACAGUGCUUAUAACACCGGUCGGCAGCGAUUCAGGUUCAGGCUCUUAUCCGACCCGUCUUGAAACACGGACCAAGGAGUUUAGCGUGUACGCAAGUCAUUGGGUGUAUAAAACCCAAAGGC
rnacentral:rRNA from 1 species